rnacentral:rRNA from 1 species
UACGUAGGGUGCAAGCGUUAAUCGGAAUUACUGGGCGUAAAGCGUGCGCAGGCGGUUCUAUAAGACAGAUGUGAAAUCCCCGGGCUCAACCUGGGAACUGCAUUUGUGACUGUAGAGCUGGAGUACGGCAGAGGGGGAUGGAAUUCCGCGUGUAGCAGUGAAAUGCGUAGAUAUGCGGAGGAACACCGAUGGCGAAGGCAAUCCCCUGGGCCUGUACUGACGCUCAUGCACGAAAGCGUGGGAGCAAACAGG